ACUCACUCCUCCUCCGCCUCCAGCGCCACCUCGUAUCUCCUCAUUCCCGACAUGUCCUGGGCUCCGAACGUCUCCUGGGGAGCGGCAUGAUUGAAUCAGGGAUUCCCUAGCCCCAGGUCCCCUUCUCCGUCAUUCUCAGGACGAGGCUGCCCAGUUCUCAGGUGCAGGACAAUAGACAGAACUCAAAGUCAUCCCUCUGCUCACCUGAGACAAAUGUGUAUCUGAUUGCUGCUUCUGCCCUAUUGUUUAUGCAAAAAUGCAGAUCCACUGAGCCA
rnacentral:lncRNA from 1 species